GCUCCGUAUUUUAAUGGGCAUUUAUUCAUGACUCACAAUGCUACUUUUCCAUUUGUUUGUAGCUGAGCUAACAAAGCUCCGUUCGGACUAGCUGUUCCUGAGCAGGCAGUCAUUGCCCCUCGGUGCGUGACAGAGACUCCCCAAUCGCCUCUAUGCCUCAGCCGGGGCUGCUGUUCUGUUGUACGGUCAAGACGCCUGUUUAGUAUGGACUAGCAUGUUCUUCUGUGUUAUUAUCUCUCCUUGAUGUCGUGCAUGCAUGGUGUAGGCUGGGGUACGCUGCCUUCCAUCUCCGCUUGACCCGCAUGAUAUUGUUUGUUUCGUUGAUCUCGUGCAUGUAUGAGGCUGGCCUGCAGUAAGCUGCCUUCCAUCUCCGCUUGACCCGCAUGAUAUUGUUUGUUUCGUUGAUCUCGUGCAUGUAUGAGGCUAGCCUGCAGUAAGCUGCCUUCCAUCUCUGCUUGGCCCGCAUGGUAUCGUUUUGUUUCUUUGAUUUAAUGCAUGGGGCGUAGCAGUGUUGUGCUGCUCUCUCUCUCUCUGCUUAGCCUGCAUGUUUUGUGGAUUUAUGCUUCUAUUGUGUUAAUUGUGGUGAUGGGAAUCCUAGAGUAACCGUCCUAGCAUAACAGGGCGGUCAGUUACAGUGCUUGUGUGUGUAUAUGUGUGUGGUUGUGUGCGUGCGGCUAAAAUACCCAGAUUACGGUGACCCGGACUGCUACCGCCCCCCGACCGUUCUUGGGGUUCCAGUGGACAGCCGAAGGUCCUCUCAGUCCCUAGCCCUCCGCUAAAGAUAAGUAGCCUCAGUCACAUAGCACAAACAAUUACAUCAUCCCCUGGUCUCCUGACUGUAUUGCUGUAUUACUGAUUCCAGUGCCUCCCUCUCCCUCUCUCUCCCUGGACAGGUGGUGGAGACUCUCCCCCCCCCUCACUUUUCCUUGCUGUGUGCAUAACGGUUGUCGUCCUUUGGAGUGCAGUGCGUAUUUGUUUUAAGCACGUGUGGUGUGUGUCUUCCGGGCCUCUCCUGCCCCCCCUCUCGGGAAGUCCUGUUCCCCGCGGUAAGCCCCCUGCCCUGCUCCACUUAUCCACUACUAGAUCUGGCCACUGGUCCAUCUCAGUAAGGCUUCGGCCAUCCCACAUGCUCAUAUUAGGGUCAUAGCCCACUGGCUAACAUUGUAUGUGUCUACUGUGUGUGUUUAGUGUAUGUGUGUUUACUGGAAAUAACUGUUUGGUUGUUGUGUGAGAGGCAACAGCCUGUACUAGAAUUGCCCUGUACUCCUUUUACUACUGUUCGUAUACCUGUUAAUAAACUGUAUUUAUGGAACCCA
rnacentral:lncRNA from 1 species